AAUCAUGAAGUAAAAAAUUACUAUUAAUUUCGACCUAAUAUAUGAGAAAUUUCUCCAUGAAUU
rnacentral:tRNA from 1 species